AUUGAACGCUGGCGGCAUGCCUUACACAUGCAAGUCGAACGGCAGCACGGAGCUUGCUCUGGUGGCGAGUGGCGAACGGGUGAGUAAUAUAUCGGAACGUACCCAAGAGUGGGGGAUAACGUAGCGAAAGUUACGCUAAUACCGCAUACGAUCUAAGGAUGAAAGUGGGGGCUCGCAAGACCUCAUGCUCCUGGAGCGGCCGAUAUCUGAUUAGCUAGUUGGUGAGGUAAAGGCUCACCAAGGCAUCGAUCAGUAGCUGGUCUGAGAGGACGACCAGCCACACUGGAACGGAGACACGGUCCAGACUCCUACGGGAGGCAGCAGUGGGGAAUUUUGGACAAUGGGGGCAAACCUGAUCCAGCAAUGCCGCGUGAGUGAAGAAGGCCUUCGGGUUGUAAAGCUCUUUUGUUGGGAAAGAAAUCCAGCUGGCUAAUACCCGGUUGGGAUGACGGUACCCAAAGAAUAAGCACCGGCUAACUUCGUGCCAGCCGCCGCCGUAA
rnacentral:rRNA from 1 species